CCGGGGAUUAGUGGCGAACGGGUGAGUAACACGUGAGUAACCUGCCCUUAACUCUGGGAUAAGCCUGGGAAACUGGGUCUAAUACCGGAUAUGACUCCCUCAUCGCAUGGUGGGGGGUGGAAAGCUUUAUUGUGGUUUUGGAUGGACUCGCGGCCUAUCAGCUUGUUGGUGAGGUAAUGGCUCACCAAGGCGACGACGGGUAGCCGGCCUGAGAGGGUGACCGGCCACACUGGGACUGAGACACGGCCCAGACUCCUACGGGAGGCAGCAGUGGGGAAUAUUGCACAAUGGGCGCAAGCCUGAUGCAGCGACGCCGCGUGAGGGAUGACGGCCUUCGGGUUGUAAACCUCUUUCAGUAGGGAAGAAGCGAAAGUGACGGUACC
rnacentral:rRNA from 1 species